AGCAGCAGCCACGGGAAUACGUAGGGUGCAAGCGUUAAUCGGAAUUACUGGGCGUAAAGCGUGCGCAGGCGGUUUGUUAAGACAGAUGUGAAAUCCCCGGGCUCAACCUGGGAACUGCAUUUGUGACUGGCAAGCUAGAGUGUGGCAGAGGGGGGUGGAAUUCCGCGUGUAGCAGUGAAAUGCGUAGAUAUGCGGAGGAACACCGAUGGCGAAGGCAGCCCCCUGGGCCAACACUGACGCUCAUGCACGAAAGCGUGGGGAGCAAACAGGAUUAGAUACCCCUGUAGUCCCUGUCUCUUAUAC
rnacentral:rRNA from 1 species